rnacentral:rRNA from 1 species
AGUGAACGCUGGCGGUAGGCCUAACACAUGCAAGUCGAACGGCAGCACAGUAAGAGCUUGCUCUUACGGGUGGCGAGUGGCGGACGGGUGAGGAAUACAUCGGAAUCUACUUUUUCGUGGGGGAUAACGUAGGGAAACUUACGCUACUACCGCAUACGACCUACGGGUGAAAGCAGGGGAUCUUCGGACCUUGCGCGAUUGAAUGAGCCGAUGUCGGAUUAGCUAGUUGGCGGGGUAAAGGCCCACCAAGGCGACGAUGCGUAGCUGGUCUGAGAGGAUGAUCAGCCACACUGGAACUGAGACACGGUCCAGACUCCUACGGGAGGCAGCAGUGGGGAAUAUUGGACAAUGGGCGCAAGCCUGAUCCAGCCAUGCCGCGUGGGUGAAGAAGGCCUUCGGGUUGUAAAGCCCUGUUGUUGGGAAAGAAAAGCAGCAGGUUAAUACCCCGCUGUUCUGACGGUACCCAAAGAAUAAGCACCGGCUAACUUCGUG